UACGUAGGGGGCAAGCGUUGUCCGGAAUCAUUGGGCGUAAAGCGCGUGUAGGCGGCUCGAUAAGUCUGCUGUGAAAGUCCAGGGCUCAACCCUGGGAUGCCGGUGGAUACUGUCGAGCUCGAGUCCGGAAGAGGCGAGUGGAAUUCCUGGUGUAGCGGUGAAAUGCGCAGAUAUCAGGAGGAACACCAAUAGCGAAGGCAGCUCGCUGGGACGUUACUGACGCUGAGGCGCGAAAGCGUGGGGAGCGAACAGG
rnacentral:rRNA from 1 species